CGAGAUUUCCCAACAUCCCUGUCUGUUUUCCUUACCCAGAGCAUUGGGCACUACUAAGUUCUUUGUGCUGAGCUGAAGGUUUGGUUUCAUCUGCUGGUGUCCUAAUACAGGAGGGUCAGAACGGACUUGGAGAAGUGCCUGCCCAAUAACUCCUGUCAGACUCCAGCCCUGUGAUGUUAAUGUCUGCAAACUUUGUCUUCCUCGAUGUGGGGAGUCAUUUCAGUUGAAGAAAUUGUGAGUGGCAUUAACUUGCUGCCCUAAAUUUAGAAGCAUAACCUGUAAAGAAAGAAGACCAUCCCUGAGAUGUGUAAGUGAGUAAUUGCCAAAAAGUGCAAGUCCCCAUUGUGCUCAGCAACUGUUCUAAAAUGGAAACUAUGGGGAGCAGAGGAAAGACCCUUUGAAACCUUUGAAGUCUGAAUGACCAGAAGGAAAUGCCAUGUGGCAGGAAGCAAAGAAUAUUCCAGAGAAAAGACACAGUUAAUGCAAACUUCUAAAAAGGGGCAAGAAUUCAUUCAUUCAUAGGUCUAUGGUACAAAUACUUAUUGAGUCUCCUUCAGUGGCCAGGCCCUGUGUUAGGCAUUAGAAUUCAACAGUGAACAAAAUGAAGAUCGCUGCACCACAGCACCUAUGUUCUAGAAGUGGAAUGGAUGAUAAACAAUAAGCAUAAUAUACAAGUUAUGUUUCAUGUUGAAGAUUGGUAACUGUUAUAACAAAUAGGGCAUUGCAGGAGGGAAUUGAGAGAGAAAGGGACAGGGAGUGGUGGGCAUGCCAAGAGCAGAUUCCCACAGAAAGUAGGUUGGUGAAGGUAGACGUCAUUGAAAAGAAGUUUUGAACAAAUGAUGAAGGGGUAGCCAAAAAAUCAUCUAGUGGAAUUGAGAAGCAGGUAAGGAACAGGCAGUACCAACUGCCCUCUGGCAGGAGUGGGACUUAUGUCUUUCAGGAACAGCAAGGAAGCCACAGUGGCUGGAGCAGAGUGAACAAGGAGGAAAUCAGAAAGUUAGUGGGGGAAUAAGAUUAUGUAGGUCCUUGUAGCCAAAGUAAGAAUUUUUAUGUUACUUGGAGUGAAAUGUAGAGCAAAUUUUGAACACAGGAGUGACAUGAUCUGGACUACAUUUCUAAAGACCCACUCUGGCUAUGGUAUUAGAGACUCAGGUGGCAAGUGGAGACACAGGAAGGACAAUGAUGAGGCUUCACUGGGAAUCCAGGCAAGAGACGAAGGUGCAUGGACUGGAAUUAUGGAGGUGAUAAAGGUGGACGGGACAUGGGACAUGGUCCAAUUCUGGAUGUAUUUUGCAGGUCAAGCCACUAGGAGUUCUUUUUGGGUUAAAUAUGGAUUGCACAGGAAAGAGAAGUCAAGGAAUACUGUCUGAGCAAGUAAGCAAAUGGCACUGCUAUUGAUUAAGGGUAAAACAGCUUUGGUGAUGGAAGAGUUAAGUGGUCUUGGAGGUCAGUUUUGGUCAUGUUAAUGUUAAGGUGUUAUUAGGCAUCUGAGUAGAGAUGACAAAUAGGUAGUUGAAUAUAGAAGUCUGAAGUGCAGGAGAGGGAUCUGUUAUUUCAUGCCAGAAGGAGUGGGUGAGAUGGAAAUGACAAGGCCAAGAGCCAAGCCAUGGGACACUCCAGCAUUAAGAGUUUGGAGAGAAGGAGGGGAACUAUAAAGCAUCUGAGAAAGAGAAACCCGUGGAGUAAAAGGAAAUCCAAGUUUGAUGUCCCAGAGGCCACAUGGAGAAAUGGACCAAAGAGGAGAUUGUGAUCAACUCUACCCAAUGCUGCUGAUGGGUUAAGUAACAUUGGAUUGGAGCUAGCUUGAAAGAGGGGAAUCAGAGAUAGAAAAUAUACCUCUUUAAAGACCUCUGCUGGACCAGGGAGCAAAGGUCUAGGAAGGGAGUAGGCAGGACAAGCGUGGUCGGGAGAAGGGUGUCUGGGGUUUGGUUUGGUUUAGUUUUUAACAUGGGAGAAAUAACAGCAUGUCACAUGUUUGUAGGUGAGACUGAUCCAGUAGAGAGGGAAAGUUGAUGAUGGAGAGGAAAAAAGAAAGAAUUAGUGAGCCAUGCCUGCUCCUAUACUGGUGAAGGGGUGAUCUAGAUGAGAACAGGGGAAAUUUAACUAUGAUAACAGGCAAAUAGGCAAAGUAUGUGGGAGUAGAGGCUAGUAGGUGACUGUAUGGGUUAAUGAUAGCCUGUUAAUUUCUCUCGUUGUUGAUCCCAUUUUUCUCAGUGGGAAACAGGCAAGCAGAGUGAGAAGGGGAUGGGGAGGGAUUGUUGGGAAGUUAGAGAAGAGUGAAGGGUUGAUGGGCAGAGUGUGUGGUGGACGGGGAGGUGCCGUGUGCUCGCCUGGCAGCAGGAAGGGUCCACCUGAGGCUCCUGGUUUCCUGGAGGCCAGAGUAUCUGAAACAUAGCUCUUCACUGGGAGAACAACCUGGGCUGGUGGCAGGGGAAUAGGGCAGGCCGGGGCGUGUAGGAUUUGCUAAAUCUGGGCAAAGCGUUUUGAUUUUACUCCAAAUGAAUGCUUAAGAAAAUUAUUUAAACUCUUUCUACCUCUGCAUUCCACUUUUGAAAAAAUAAAGUAAGAACACAUAAAUUUUCACCUCCAAAAUUCUUGACCCUAUGAGAAAGUGAGAAUUAAUUACUAAGUGUUCAUUAAACUAACAGCUCACAUCUCCUGAUUAUUAAGCAUCUGUCAAAAAGUAAAAUUUUGCACCCAUACAUUUUUCCCUUUUAUUCUUUGAAAAGCCUUCAGCUUGUCUUCAAUAUCCUGAUCUUCAAACUGUCCUCUCUUUCUGGAAUUUGCUUUACGAACUCAAGUCUAAAAUCUUCCACAAAGGAAGCAAACAUGGGCCAAUCAUUCAGCUUGUAUUUCUUGAGCAAAGAUCAUAAUCCUGGCACUGUGAACUUAUUUUUGGCAGUUUUUGAAUACUUUGCAGGAAUAUGAAGGUUAAAAGAUUAAAUGUAAUUUUAGUGAAAUUUGAUGGGCAAACCCAAAACCAGAAAUCUUUCUUGGUCUUCUGGAUUGAUAUCAAAGCUGGGAUUUAUCUUCUGCAGGGAUUUUAUUUUUCCUCUUUUUUUGUUUCUUAGUAUUUUCAGGUGAAGUUACUUUGUCCUUUUGUGAGAAUGCUGAUCACAGCAUCAUUAUAAUAGAAAAAAAUCACAAGCAUUCUCUAUACCCCAAAAUCUUGGAAUCAUAAAAUAAAUUAUCCAUGUGAUGAAAAAUGCACAAUCUUAUAAAAAUUCUCAUUUUGAAGACUAUUUAGUGACAUGGG
rnacentral:lncRNA from 10 species